rnacentral:lncRNA from 1 species
GACAUAUUGGGCCUGUUCCGUACACAUCUCGAGCAGCCCUAAUUGGGCCCAACACGGUAAUCCAAUUCAAUUCAUCAUCACGUUUCCGUAACUGGAUGCCCUGCAACAUUCCCUAUUUACCUUUUCUUCUCUGAAAUUCACUAUCUUCUCUGAAAUUGAAUUAUUUCGUUAUUUGAUGUGAGCCUCAGAAUAGAAUCAAAUCAGAUCCAUCACUCUUGUCUCUCUUCGGGUUCGAAAUUGUAAUUAUCAACUUUUUACACUAGAUUUCGCACCCAAAUUCCACCAUUUCCGCUCCCUCCUGCAAAUCACUCCACAAUGAAUUGAGGCCAUUCUGGAAAAGCACUUUUUUUUCCCUAAUUUAUUAUCCCAGAACCGUCUAAAGGUUUAGUAUUUUAGCACAAGAUUUAUUAUUUUUUAAUGGUAUAAUCUUUUGUCGGGUUUUAUGAAUUUGAGGUUUUAGGGUUUUUUUUUUAUUUAUUUAAUUCGGGUUUGGUUUUAGAAUCUUUUCUAGAAAUUAGUUUAGUUUCUUCCUGGGUUUGUUUAGUUUGUUUAAAUCUGUUUUUUACUUUCAACGUGAAUGCUGACUGCAUUGUGGUUAAAUUCGGUUCUGAAUAGUUGGGAUUUCAGAUUUUGGAUUCCCAAUCUGGAGACAUUUAAAUAAUUUGCAGUUAAAUCGUGGGUCUAAUGUUGAGGAAGCUGCAGAAUGGGCCAUUUGAUUAAACUAUAUAUUUGGAUUUUUCAGUUUUUGCACUUCAAAGGAUGUUACUCCUGUGCUAUUUCUCUUAAGGCCGUUCAAUUAUUUUUUUUCUCAAUGUACUCUCCUGGCAAUGUUAGGCACCAAGAGGAGUGGAUAUGAUAAGAGACUCGGGAUUAAUAGAUAUAAGGAAGAGAAGAAUAUUUGGUUUUUUGUUGAGCUGUUUGUGGAUUUCCUUUUGUCUGACAGCUUUCCUCCAUUAAGUCCAUUUUGAUUUGCACCUAAACUUAACCCCCAAUUUUUGUUUUGAAAGUUAACGUCAGAAGUUUUUGCAUUCAAGAGGAAUAUUAAGUGUAUGUUUUGUAUGCAAUGCUGGAUAGACUGGACAGAACAAUAAACAACAAAUUUGCUUAAUUUUCUUCAGUAAUAUUGUCCACUACUAUCAAAUUCUCAUUACCAAACAUGCUAUAAGAGUUUAGAUGUCUCAACACCAAGUUGAUUGGUAAUUAUGGAGUCCAGCUAAUCUGAUCGUGGCAUUCUUCAUGAUUUGAGAUUGUGAUAUGUGAAUUUUCUUUUUGUUUGGCAUGAAUCUGUUGUGUACCUUUCCUAAUGGUUGUUCUUUUGAACAGCGAGUUAAACCAUGGUAGCGAAGAAAGUUAUCACCAUUUGUCAGUCGGGAGGUGAAUUUGAGACAGAUACUGAUGGUGUACUUUCUUACAAAGGUGGUGAUGCUCAUGCUAUGGAAAUCGAUGGUCAAAUGAAGUUCAAAGAUUUCAAGUUGGAGGUAGCAGAGAUGUUUAACUGCAAUCUAAGUACUAUGUCCAUCAAAUAUUUCCUUCCGGCAAACAAGAAGACGCUUAUCUCCAUCACCAAUGACAAAGACCUCAAGCGCAUGAUUAAAUUCUUUGGUAACUCUGACACUGCAGAGAUAUACGUAAUGAAUGAAGAAAUUGUUGAUCCUGAUGUCUCCAACAUGCCUGGCAGUAGGUAGUACUCUUGCUGUCUAGUAGUAUAGAAUUGUUUUCUUCUGUAGAUAAUGCAUUUAGGGACAUUUUAACUUGCAGGUCGAGUAGGACAACUUUGUCAGAAGCGGCUCCUGCUGAUGCUUCGCCAGAUAUGAUUGUAAAUGACAUGAACGAGCCUGAACUGCUACUUGAUUCCUCUUUUGAUGUGGUUGUCGAUACUAACCAUGUUGAGGCUCUUUUUGAUGUACCAACUGAAAGGCCCGUUCGUUCUAAAAUGCCUGUGCCAAUUUCUUUUGUUAGUUAUGAUGAGAAAGAUGCUAAAGCUGCUGAGCAGUGGCUGAACAUUAUUACUGGGGUGGGACAAAGGUUCAAUAGUGUAAAUGAGUUUCGCGAGGCAUUACGUAAAUAUGCCCUGGCACAUCAGUUUGCUUUCAAAUACAAGAAAAAUGAUAGUCAUCGUGUAUCUGUUAAAUGCAAGGCCGAUGGUUGUCCAUGGAGAAUUUAUGCAUCAAGGUUGGUGACCACUCAGCUGAUAUGUAUUAAGAAAAUGAUUCCAACACAUUCUUGUGAAGGAUCUGCACUUACAACUGGCAUUCAGGCAACAAGAAGUUGGGUUGCUAGCAUCGUGAAGGAGAAGUUGAAAGUUUUUCCGAACUAUAAGCCCAAAGACAUUGUUAAAGACAUCAAAGAGGAAUUUGGGAUCCAGUUGAAUUACUUUCAGGCAUGGCGGGGGAAAGAAAUUGCUAAGGAGCAGCUCCAGGGUUCUUACAAAGAGGCAUAUAGUAAGUUACCACUUUUCUGUGAGAAGAUAAUGGAAACAAAUCCCGGAAGUUUAGCGACUUUUGCCACUAAAGAAGACUCGAGCUUCCAUCGCCUCUUUGUGUCUUUCCAUGCUUCCCUAUAUGGCUUCGAACAAGGCUGCCGUCCUUUGCUUUUCCUAGAUGGCAUAUUUUUGAAGUCUAAAUAUCAAGGCACACUUUUGGUAGCAACAGCUGUUGAUGGGAAUGAUGGUGUUUUUCCUGUUGCUUUUGCUGUUGUGGAUGCUGAAUCUGAUGACAACUGGCAUUGGUUCUUACUACAACUCAAAACUGCUUUGUCAGUGUGUCGUGGGAUAACUUUUGUGGCAGAUAGAGAGAAGGGACUAAAAGAGUCAAUUGCUGAAAUUUUUCAGAAUGAUGAUGUUUACCAUAGCUACUGCCUGACCCAUCUCUCUGAGCAAUUUAUCAGAGACUUGAAGGGACAGUUUUCUCAUGAAGUGAAGCGUCUUAUGGUUGAAGAUUUUUAUAGUGCUGCUCAUGCUUCUACCCCUGAAGACUUCCAAAGAUGUGUGGAAAGCAUCAAAACUAUUUCAAUAGAAGCAUACAGUUGGAUCAUGCAAAGUGAGCCUGUUCAUUGGGCAAAUGCAUUCUUCCAAGGUGCAAGAUAUAACCACAUGACUUCAAACUUCGGAGAACUGUUCCAGAGUUGGUUAUCAGAUGCACAUGAAUUGCCAAUAAUCCAGAUGGUUGAUGCCAUUCGAGGUAAGAUUAUGGAGUUGAUAUAUACCCGGCAGACAGAAUCUAACCAUUGGCAGACAAGAUUAACUCCAUCAAUGGAGGGGAAACUCGAAAAAGAAAACAUUAAAGUUAGAACCCUUCAGGUAUUAAUAUCAGCUGGUAACAGAUUUGAGGUACGUGGGGAUACCAUUGAAACUGUUGAUGUGGAUAACUGUGUUUGUAGUUGCAAGGAGUGGCAGCUUACUGGAUUACCCUGCUGCCAUGCAAUCGCUGUCAUUACUUGUGUUAACCGUGAUCCAUAUGAUUAUUGUUCUAGAUACUUCACAACUAAUAACUAUAGAGUAACAUAUUCACAGUCAAUACAUCCUGUUUCGAAUAUAGAUGGCCCCUGGCUGAAGGGCUCUUCUCAGUUGGCAGUGGCUGUAACCCCUCCUCCAACUCGUCGUCCACCAGGCCGGCCUACUACAAAGAAAAUUGGCUCACAGGAUGCAGCAAAACGUCAACUUCAAUGCAGUAGAUGCAAGGGUAGUGGGCACAACAAAUCAAGCUGUAAAGAGAUUUUGCUGGAAUGAUAAACUAUGUAAGUAUACUUUAUGAUCUUUUUGGCUGCAUCGUUUACAUAUAUCUAUUUAACAUCCUUUAACAUAUCAGAUGGCUUCCAUUCAUUAGCAAACUGUAUUGACCUGAGUGGAAAGGAACAUCUUCCAUCUAUACUUCCUUGACUGUUCAUAAUGUCAACAUAUUCAUGGUCUAUGUAGAUCUUCCUUCAUUGCUUUCUUGGAAACAUCCUGCUCCUACGCUAAUGUAGAUAUUCUGAGUGUUAGUCUGUCUGUUAGAUUUACAUUUGGCCUGUUGAUAUUCCAAUACCUUUUGUAUUGUCAGUAGCCUUCCAUGUUUUUUUUCACCUUCACUGUCAAGUGGUUCAGAGUGAGGCUUUCUCCCUAUCCUAUAAAGCACGAGCACGCCUAGAUGCUCCUCACUCCUCAGACACUCCAAUACUUGUGUCUGACAAGCCAAGUGUUGUGUCUUAUUCUUUAAAUGUCUGACACUUGAGGGAUAGUUUAGGGACAUGCGUUGGUGUCCGACUGUUGUGAAAAUUUUUGUUUCAGUGUGCCAUGUUAUUCCGUGUUGGUGUAUGUGCUUCUUAGACCCUAGCAUCUUUACAGAAUUUAUGCAUAUUCUCCCAAGAGUUUGUCACUGCACCCUAGCUCCUUCGACUACCAGAAUCUUUUCUCGAUUUGUUACCUAUCCUCUGCAUAGAAUAUUUUUUAAUAUGUAUUGGAGCUGUCGUAAUGCGUAUACUCCUCUAUGCAAAACUUCUUGCUUUCAAAUGAUGAAUUAAGAGACUAAGAUGUCUAUUUCCAACUACGUAAAUAAAGAAAGCUAUUGUACUUUAACUACUCAUUCCUUAUUCCCAUGGUUUAACAAACCCAAUUGAAACUCAUCUUAAGGUUCGCGUCAGAUUAAGGCUUGCAAAACACUUUAAGAUGCUGAUUAUGAGGCAAUUUUUUGAAGUGUACAGCACUAUGGAGCAUCGACACGUGGCCAACAUGCCUUUGACACAUGUUGAAUAUGCUACGUGGUGGUUCCAUCAUUUUCUCUAAUUUUAUAUUGCCAAACAUCGUGAAUAUUCCUCCUACAUGCCUUUGGAAGUUCAUGACACUACGUGAUUACUUGCAAAUGGUCGAAAAAAAGAAGGUAAAUUCACAUGACAUAUAUCGACUUCGUCCUUUUCUGAUAGCUAAAUUGCAAGCCUGCAACAUUGCUGUCGCUAUUGGGGGUUGGUGGCUUUGGGCUCUUUCCAUUUUAUCAAUCAAAAAGGCACUAAUGGCGAAGGAAACCUUAGAUGACGAAUUUACUUUUCAGAUUCCUAAUCUAAAGUAACACACUUUCUCUUAUUAAGUGUGUGCUUAGUUAGGGAAAACAUAGUUGUCCAAUUGACUUGCCUUUAUUAAAGGGCCAAGCAGCAUGUUUUAUUUGUUAGGUACAUAGGCGACUUUUCUUUUUUUAAGACAGAGAUGUGUUUUAUUAAAUAUAUCAAUCAACUGGGAGGGAAAAAAAUAAUUUAGCCUUCUUUUUUUCUAAGAAGAAUGUAACUUUCCUUUUUAACCAAUAGAAUAUUAAAAAAUUAUCAAGCAAUCGUCCCCUUUUACACUUUGAAAAUUGGGCACCUAACUUUUACGGUAUUAUUAAUAUUUUAAUUGCUUUAUAUUGUAUAGUUGAAAAAAUGGUUUUAAAAUUUUUUUAGCCCUUGUUUGAGCCACAUUAUUUUCAUAAGAAUGCUUUUUUUAAUAGUAUAUUGAUGGUAAAUGUGUGGUUAAAAAAUGAGGAAAAGUUUUGGAUUUGUGUGUAAUAUUAAUAUUUUGAUGAAGAAUGUGUACUUGAAAUUAUGUCAAAUCAUUGUUUAAGAAUGUAUUUUUUUGAAAGAAUGAAUCAAAACACUGGGUUUCAUGCAUGCCAUUAGAUUAUCGAAAGAUGAUAUUGUUUUGCUCUCACUUCAAUUUAAAGAUGUGCUGGCUUUUGAUAAGCUUUUAUUGUGUUUUUAUUCCAUGGUGUGCUGCUGUUUAACAAUUUAAUCUGUAUUCUCUUCCUUCCACAGGGUUGCUCUAUUGGUGAAUCAACAUCUUCGACCGGCAAUAUUUUCUGAUGAGUUUAAUUCAAGUCUCACUUAGUUCAUCAUUCCUUUGAUCAUUUAUCUGACUUCAGGUUCUUAGUAGUGAAAAUGGUGUUGAUAAUGGAAGGAGUCUGAGUGCUAUUCAACAGCAUUCUUUUCAGCAUGUUUCUUAUAGUUCUUGGAAGGCUGAUGGUAUGUACAUAGUAACAAACUUCUGUUACUACUUUCUUGCCUGUAUGAUGUAGAACCUCCCUAACAUGCGUGUGAUCUUUUUGUUGGCUGCUAAUUUAGUCUUCGGUGUUGGUGGAUAAGAACGCAAAUAUGAUCCUGACAUGAUUAAUAAAGUGGACAGUGUUAGGUAGUCAAUAAGAAAGCGAAUCUAAAUUUGUCCGUUGAACUGUCCAGUUCAUUACGGUAUUCUUUAAUUAAAGAUGCCUGUGUUUCUUCUUGUAUCGUAUGUCAUUAGUUGUCCUCGAUUUUCCAUAUGUGAGGUUGUGUUGAUGGCUGACAAGUGAACUUGAGAAAGAGGAAGGCUCGAUAGAGAAGCUCGAGUGUUUUAGUAGAUACUAUCUGUUAGCUCUUUAUUCUCAUGAUUUGAGCUAAAUAUUAAUCUGCCAAAUUUGGAAGUUGAGAGAGUAGGCUCUUUGUCACUUUUGGUAAAUUGACACUAUGCCCUCGAAUGGGGAGGAAAGUGAGAUUGUGUCCAAAACUUAGGGUGCAAAAUGGUAUUUUCAAUUUUGACCAAAUUUAUCCCCGCCGUAGAAAACUUCCAUUUUCAAUAAUACAUUUUUUUAAUGGAAAUUGUAAUUGCGGUACCAAACCUUUCACUUUUAUGAAUGUUUGACCCAAAUCUUUACUUUGUGACACCUACAGUACCAAACUUUAAAUUCACGAUGAGAUGGAUUUCAUCACCUUGAAAAUGGAAAAUUGAUCAUGUCGAUCAAUUUUAAAAUGGGUAAAAUUAUAACUUAAAAAAAAACGAACACCCAACCAAAAUAACUGUUCAUCAUCCCCUUUCCAAUCCACACUCCACCCCUCAACCUAUACCCAACCAAAUUCACCCACCACCACAAACCCUGCCGUUAACGCUGCAGUCGUCGCCGUUGUUGCCUGCCACAAACACAGCCACCACAAAAUAUAAGCUUGGCCAAACAUUUAAGAAAUCCCAACCUCUUAACAGGCCAAGUCCUUUUCCUCGGUGUCGAAAUGGAGAGAAUCCAAAUUUGAGGAACAAAUUCACAUUAAAAAACACGCUGAAGAUGCAUGCAAAAACUGAUUCUGAAGUCGUCAGCUUGGUCCCUUCUUUCCCAAAUUCCGAAUCUGCAAAUAAUGGUAGUCCUACAUUCAAGCUCACUUUUUCCCACUAUUGCUUCAUCAUUUUUAUUACUCACUAACAAUACGAAUUCAAGCUCAUUUUCAUGGAGGUCAUUGCAGUCGUUUUUGG